GGAGAGAUGUCCGAGUGGCCGAAGGAGCACGUCUGGAAAGCGUGUAUACCGCAAGGUAUCCUGGGUUCAAAUCCCAGUCUCUCCGCCA
rnacentral:tRNA from 7 species